rnacentral:misc_RNA from 1 species
AUGGGCGUGUCGGUUCCCUGCUCGGGCAGCGACGACAUCUCGUGCUCGCCUUUUCAAUUGUUGGCUCAAGUUGCGGAUUGCCUUGGCCGACGUCGGUUUCCUGUGUUGAAUACCUGUCAUGAAGGCAUGGCGUUGUCCCGAUGUCCCUUUUUCUCCUUGCACUGCGCCCUUUCGGGACGCGGUGUGGGGCGAACACCGAAGCACUCGACGUGAUCCGCGAUUCGCAUGCUCUUGGCAUCCGUACUCGUUGGCCCACAUCGUUUUGCUCGUUCUCUCGGAUGCGGAAUAGAGAUGCGGUACGAGGUCCCCGACCUCAAUUUGCCCCGAAAAUAAUAGCGUCCGACGCUUAAUGCGGACGACGUCCGUUCCCGUUGUGGCGGAGUCUCCUGACUCGGCUCAUGCGGCGAUCGGCGUCGAUGAGGAAUGCUACCCC